UCGGUUAAAAAUAAACAAGCUUACAUAAUGAUUGAAUGACAAGUAAAUCAUUUAAAUUUAGACAUAAUAUUAUUUGGCUAAAAUUAAAUAACUUUCUAUGAUGCAUAUAACCGUGUUUCUUACUUAAAAACAAACAAGUAACUUAUCUAUUGGGAGAUAAGCACAGCUCGGCAAUUAACAAUGGAGCGAAUACUAUUUUUGACCGAGUAACUUGAUAAAAAUGAAACAAGGAAUUGGCUGCGUAGCCCGCAAAGUCAGCCAUUUCUAUCAAAUCAUAGUCGAGUGACAAACGUGUCUGUUGAAGCGCCGCCUCAGCACCUACAAGGCAGAUUCAAAUUUACAUUAAAAACUUUUCAUCAUCAUUUUGAAUUUUAAUCAAACUAAGUAUUAUAGAAGAGCAAGAUGCAGAAGACAAACUAUUAGGGCUCAAAAACAGCCAUGGACAGCCGUAGAACUAAAGUGGCAAGACUCUACAGGGACGAAGCUAAUUGCUGCAAAAUAGUUAACUAAAGCUCCAAUACCUCAAUACAAUGAAUAUGCGGCUCUUAAAAAACCCAAAGGAUAUCUUCUGCUAGAAAAAGAUUGUGAAAACCACAGAACAGUGAAAACCAAAGGACAAUACAUAUAUCACUGAAAGCUUCCCCACAAUCAAGCCAAAAAUAUUUGAAUUAGUAAGUUACUUCUGAUCAAGCAAGAUAUUGUCAUAUACUUAUUACUUUAUUAAAUACCUAUUACUUUAGUAAAUUACAUUUGGUAGGAUAUAGUUCCCAUAUAAUAUGUAAAGAGCUUAUUGUACUUUAAUUUUUUUUUGGUGCAAAAAAUGUUUAAGUUUUAGCAUUUAUGAUCAUUUUCCCGACGACGAAUGUGAGUUAUGUUUCAAUGAGAAUAAAUUCAAAUGUUUAAAAUAACGGUUUUACUUGUUGGGUUGUAAUAAAAUUAUUAGAUCAAAAAGAUUACUUAUUCUCCUAACUUAUUCUAUAGUUUUUGCCUAAACUUUUGACUUAUCAAAUACAUAUAAGUACAAUAUUUAGAUGUAGUAACUUGCUUACAUUACCAUAAUGGUUGUUUGUUUUUAUGUAAACAAACCUAAACCACUUUCAUUAUAGAACAAACUCCAACAUCGCGAAAUAAAAUCAGCUGUUCCGUAGAUUUUGGCAGAGUACUUAGAUAAUUCCACUUUUGUAUAUGAAACAGCUGAUAUUUCUUUUACGAUGUUGGAUUUGGCUUUGGAUUAGGUAUAGACCUAAUUAAAGUUGUUCAGGUUCGUAGUGUGAGUCAUUCCUUAAAAGUUUACUCAUGAUUUAUAUUUAAGUAUUUAACCCUGUUAUUGUGAAAAUUAAAACACAAAAUAGUUAUUGUUUCUUGACAUUGUGAAUUGUGUACUAUUUUUAAAAGUAGUAGUAUCUAAGUGUAAGUAGUAUGUUACUUGAAAUGAUUGUAUCGUGUACUGAAUAAAGCUAAUUUCA